CCUACGGGAGGCAGCAGUGGGGAAUAUUGCACAAUGGGGGAAACCCUGAUGCAGCGACGCCGCGUGAGUGAAGAAGUAUUUCGGUAUGUAAAGCUCUAUCAGCAGGGAAGAAAUAGCGACCUUUGGGUCGCCAGACGGUAACUGAUGAAGAAGCCACGGCUAACUACGUGCCAGCAGCCGCGGUCAUACGUAGGGGGCAAGCGUUAUCCGGAUUUACUGGGUGUAAAGGGAGCGUAGACGGCAGCGCAAGUCUGAAGGGAAAUGCCGGGGCUUAACCCCGGAACUGCUUUGGAAACUGUGCAGCUAGAGUGCAGGAGAGGUAAGUGGAAUUCCUAGUGUAGCGGUGAAAUGCGUAGAUAUUAGGAGGAACACCAGUGGCGAAGGCGGCUUACUGGACUGUAACUGACGUUGAGGCUCGAAAGCGUGGGGAGCAAACAGGAUUAGAUACCCUUGUAGUC
rnacentral:rRNA from 1 species